rnacentral:tRNA from 1 species
AGAAACUUAGGAUUAAACUCGCAAAACCGGAGGCCUUCAAAGCCUCAAACAAGAGACAUAUAAACCUCUUAGUUUCUG